CAUAAUCUCUAUGGAGAGAAGCAGGGGAUCGCAAGACCUUGCGCUUUUGGAGCGGCCGAUGUCUGAUUAGCUAGUUGGUGAGGUAAAGGCUUACCAAGGCUUCGAUCAGUAGCUGGUCUGAGAGGACGACCAGCCACACUGGGACUGAGACACGGCCCAGACUCCUACGGGAGGCAGCAGUGGGGAAUUUUGGACAAUGGGGGAAACCCUGAUCCAGCCAUGCCGCGUGAGUGAAGAAGGCCUUCGGGUUGUAAAGCUCUUUCAGCCGGAACGAAACGGUCACGGCUAAUACCUGUGAUCACUGACGGUACCGGAAGAAGAAG
rnacentral:rRNA from 1 species